UACGAAGGGGGCUAGCGUUGCUCGGAAUUACUGGGCGUAAAGGGCGCGUAGGCGGACAGUUUAGUCAGAGGUGAAAGCCCAGGGCUCAACCCUGGAAUUGCCUUUGAUACUGGCUGUCUUGAGUACGGGAGAGGUGUGUGGAACUCCGAGUGUAGAGGUGAAAUUCGUAGAUAUUCGGAAGAGCACCAGUGGCGAAGGCGACACACUGGCCCGUUACUGACGCUGAGGCGCGAAAGCGUGGGGAGCAAACAGG
rnacentral:rRNA from 1 species